UUUUUUUUUUUUUUUUGGGUUGCAAAUAAAAGAGUUUUGAAUGAUCAAAUCAUGGUGUCAAUUUUUACUAUCAAAUGGGGUUUUGAGAUGUGAAAUUAGAUCAAGCAUUUUAAUUAGUAGGUUAUGUACCUCGUUUCCUUGAAGCAUUUCCAGUCCCAGUAUUCCCGUUGUCCCCAAGUUACAUACAAGGAUCUUGGAUACAGCAUGAAGCAAUAAUUUCCGGACUUCUCAUCAACCCAUCUUUUCUGCAACAAACAACCCACCGCCGAAACCAUUAUAUCGUCUGUCUUUAUUUAUUUGUUUGGUUCUUUUCAAAUGUAAUAGUACUAUCACAGAUACGCAUGCAUCUCUCCCAUAAGUGACAAAUAUACACACCGGAGCAAAAAAAAUAAAUAAAUAAAAUUGCAGUUAAGAUGAAUUUUUGGACUGACGAAGCACAAGAGAGAAGAAGAAGAAGAUGAUGAUGAUAAAAAUCACGUAAGCUAAGACAUGAUAGGCGAGAAAUAAUUGAAUUGAGGGAAGAGGGAAACCUUCUUUUUGUGCUCCAAAAAUUCUUCCUUUUUGUUUUCGCGAAUUUUGCCGCCUACUGCCAUCGAAUUGCAAGUGAAUCAGCUGCGGAUUCUUUCUGGCUGUUGUUGCUUGUGUUUCGUGAUAUACACAAACCCUCAAAAAAAAAAAGAAAAAAAGCAAGCCCUUUUCUGUCAGCUGCUUGUGUUUCUUGAGGGUUGGUUUGUAUUAAUACAGAAAAAUGUAGAAACCUUCAAGAACGAAGAUUCUUUCCUGGUCAACGGACACAGACGUUAUCAUACAGGGAAACAAUAAUAUUAAACUUUAGUAAGUAACGCGCUUGAGUCUUGCUCUCAAACUGUCAAAACACAUUAAGCUCCGUUUGGGACGCGCUUGAGCCUUGGAAGUCGAUGUCAGUCUAUCUAUGAUGGGCUAGUCUGGAUCAGGAGCGUCUCUAAUUAAUUAAUUCUGUCCAGUUUUUUUACAAUUUUUAGUUAGACAAAUUUUCUUGCCCCCUUCCAUCGAUUAUAAGAAAACUUCCGCCCUAUCAUGAACGUAAUUCAACAAAACUUGAAAUAUUGGAUGUCAUAUCGUCUACUUUUCGCAAACAAAAAGCCAUUUGAAUGCAGUGACUACAUCCACUUCUUUAGAACAGCAGAGAUGGCCAGUCAGCUUAAUUUUAGAUCAAAUACCCAUAUGGCAUCCCAAUUUUCUUUGAUAAGAAUGAGGUGCUGAACAUGAAUUUUAAGAAACUACAUAUGAAUCUCUGAAAGUUGUUUCGUUGCGAAAAGAUUUCUGGAAUGUCAAUUAUCAACAGAAAUCCACGUCCAGUGGAAUAUGUGUAAUCUACUUAUAUCAGCCUAUGGUGAAACUGGAACAGGAUAAAAAAAAUGAAAGCGAUAAAGGUACCAUAUGGUUGAUUUCCCUCCCCUGCAGCCUGUCCAGACCAGAGUAUAAGCAGAAUAUAAAGCUGCUGUAAAGGCUGGCCCUGAUAAAUCACCCAUUUUUUCAUAUAUAUGUAAACCUUUUAGAAAACGUCGUUUUACACUUAGUUUUACCUAUGUUUCUAUGUUAAUCUUCUCUAUUGCCGCAGGCCCAAAAAUAGAUUUUGGGUAGAAAUAUUUGAAUAUUUGUUGAAGGCAACUUUAGGACGGACUUCAAUGCAUAGAUACUCGUUCAUGCAAGCAAGGGAAACAAAACUAGCAGUGGUUGAAUUCCACCCCCUAUUACCAUCCAAACGAUUUCGAGUAGUUACACAUGCAGUGGCUAUUUAUAGGCUAGUGCUCGAGUCUACUCUUUGCCAUCUGAAUGAAAAAGAAUAGGGACUAGUUGGGAAAGCCUAUAGACAUCAAAAUAAAUGCCAACUCGAUAUAUAUAUAUAUAUAUAUAUAGUCAGGCUCUAAGAGAGUGAAGUUGUUUCCUAGUUCUGUCUAACUCCUCAGAAUUAAAACAGCUACGUUCUGGGGAAACCAAAAACAAGAGGCAAGGUGAGACAUCCAAAACUCUGAAUCAAUGCUGGGAGUAAGCUUGGGACUUAUAUGUAAAUUACAGAGAUUUGAGUCAUGAGAAUGAGAGAGAGAGCUAGUUCUUGGGUAUAUUCACUCCAACGAUUUUUGCUGGAGUUAUGCGGAGAAGGUUUCCUGGCUUACCAGGUACAGCACCUUUAACCAUCACAAUUCUAAGCUCAUUAUCGAUCUUGAUAAUUUUCAGCUUCCUAAUCUUU
rnacentral:lncRNA from 1 species